rnacentral:rRNA from 1 species
UACGUAGGUGGCGAGCGUUGUCCGGAUUUACUGGGCGUAAAGAGCUCGUAGGCGGUCUGUCGCGUCGGAUGUGAAAAUCCAGGGCUCAACCCUGGACCUGCAUUCGAUACGGGCAGACUAGAGUUCGGUAGGGGAGACUGGAAUUCCUGGUGUAGCGGUGAAAUGCGCAGAUAUCAGGAGGAACACCGGUGGCGAAGGCGGGUCUCUGGGCCGAAACUGACGCUGAGGAGCGAAAGCGUGGGGAGCAAACAGG